rnacentral:rRNA from 1 species
AAGGACGAACGCUGGCGGUGUGCUUCACACAUGCAAGUCGAACGAGGUAGCAAUACCUAGUGGCGGACGGGUGAGUAACGCGCGGGAAUCUGCCUUUAGAUGGGGGAUAACGGGUCGAAAGACUCGCUAAUACCGCAUAUGACGAAAGUUGAAAGGAGUAAUCCGUCUAAAGAUGAGCCCGCGUCCGAUUAGCUAGUUGGUAGAGUAAAAAGCCUACCAAGGCGACGAUCGGUAGCUGGUCUGAGAGGAUGAUCAGCCACAAUGGGACUGAGACACGGCCCAUAUUCCUACGGGAGGCAGCAGUGGGAAUUUACGCAAUGGGCGAAAGCCUGACGUAGCGACACCGCGUGAGCGAAGAAGCCCCUUGGGGUGUAAAGCUCUGUCAGCUGGAACGAAAAAAUGACGGUACCAGCAGAGGAAGCAUCGGCUAACUACGUG